rnacentral:rRNA from 1 species
UUAAGCGACUAAGCGUACACGGUGGAUGCCUAGGCAGUCAGAGGCGAUGAAGGGCGUGCUAAUCUGCGAAAAGCGUCGGUAAGCUGAUAUGAAGCGUAAUAACCGACGAUACCCGAAUGGGGAAACCCAGUGCAAUUCGUUGCACUAUUGCAUGGUGAAUACAUAGCCAUGCAAGGCGAACCGGGGGAACUGAAACAUCUAAGUACCCCGAGGAAAAGAAAUCAACCGAGAUUCCCCCAGUAGCGGCGAGCGAACGGGGAAGAGCCCAGAGUCUGAAUCAGUUGGUGUGUUAGUGGAAGCGUCUGGAAAGUCGCACGGUACAGGGUGAUAGUCCCGUACACAAAAAUACACUGGCUGUGAACUCGAUGAGUAGGGCGGGACACGUGACAUCCUGUCUGAAUAUGGGGGGACCAUCCUCCAAGGCUAAAUACUCCUGACUGACCGAUAGUGAACCAGUACCGUGAGGGAAAGGCGAAAAGAACCCCGGCGAGGGGAGUGAAAUAGAACCUGAAACCGUGUACGUACAAGCAGUGGGAGCACCUUCGUGGUGUGACUGCGUACCUUUUGUAUAAUGGGUCAGCGACUUAUAUUUUGUAGCAAGGUUAACCGAAUAGGGGAGCCGUAGGGAAACCGAGUCUUAACUGGGCGUCUAGUUGCAAGGUAUAGACCCGAAACCCGGUGAUCUAGCCAUGGGCAGGUUGAAGGUUGGGUAACACUAACUGGAGGACCGAACCGACUAAUGUUGAAAAAUUAGCGGAUGACUUGUGGCUGGGGGUGAAAGGCCAAUCAAACCGGGAGAUAGCUGGUUCUCCCCGAAAGCUAUUUAGGUAGCGCCUCGUGAACUCAUCUUCGGGGGUAGAGCACUGUUUCGGCUAGGGGUCCAUCCCGGAUUACCAAACCGAUGCAAACUCCGAAUACCGAAGAAUGUUAUCACGGGAGACACACGGCGGGUGCUAACGUCCGUCGUGAAGAGGGAAACAACCCAGACCGCCAGCUAAGGUCCCAAAGUCAUGGUUAAGUGGGAAACGAUGUGGGAAGGCAUAGACAGCCAGGAUGUUGGCUUAGAAGCAGCCAUCAUUUAAAGAAAGCGUAAUAGCUCACUGGUCGAGUCGGCCUGCGCGGAAGAUGUAACGGGGCUAAACCAUGCACCGAAGCUGCGGCAGCGACGCUUAGGCGUUGUUGGGUAGGGGAGCGUUCUGUAAGCCGUUGAAGGUGGCCUGUGAGGGCUGCUGGAGGUAUCAGAAGUGCGAAUGCUGACAUAAGUAACGAUAAUGCGGGUGAAAAACCCGCACGCCGGAAGACCAAGGGUUCCUGUCCAACGUUAAUCGGGGCAGGGUGAGUCGACCCCUAAGGCGAGGCUGAAAAGCGUAGUCGAUGGGAAACAGGUUAAUAUUCCUGUACUGGGUGUGACUGCGAAGGGGGGACGGAGAAGGCUAGGCUAGCCGGGCGACGGUUGUCCCGGUUUAAGCAUGUAGGCGGAGCGACUUGGUAAAUCCGGUUGCUUAUCAACGCUGAGGUGUGAUGACGAGCCACUACGGUGGUGAAGUAGUUGAUGCCAAGCUUCCAGGAAAAGCCUCUAAGCAUCAGGUGACAUUCAAUCGUACCCCAAACCGACACAGGUGGUCAGGUAGAGAAUACUCAGGCGCUUGAGAGAACUCGGGUGAAGGAACUAGGCAAAAUGGUGCCGUAACUUCGGGAGAAGGCACGCUGGCAUUAGGUAAAGAGACUUGCUCUCGGCGCCGAAGCCAGUCGCAGAUACCAGCUGGCUGCAACUGUUUAAUAAAAACACAGCACUGUGCAAACACGAAAGUGGACGUAUACGGUGUGACGCCUGCCCGGUGCUGGAAGGUUAAUUGAUGGGGUCAGCCGCAAGGCGAAGCUCUUGAUCGAAGCCCCAGUAAACGGCGGCCGUAACUAUAACGGUCCUAAGGUAGCGAAAUUCCUUGUCGGGUAAGUUCCGACCUGCACGAAUGGCGUAAUGAUGGCCAGGCUGUCUCCACCCGAGACUCAGUGAAAUUGAACUCGCUGUGAAGAUGCAGUGUACCCGCGGCAAGACGGAAAGACCCCGUGAACCUUUACUAUAGCUUGACACUGAAUAUUGAGCCUUGAUGUGUAGGAUAGGUGGGAGGCAUCGAAGCGUGGACGCCAGUCUGCGUGGAGCCAACCUUGAAAUACCACCCUUUAAUGUUUGAUGUUCUAACUCGGCCCCAUAAUCUGGGGUGAGGACAGUGUCUGGUGGGUAGUUUGACUGGGGCGGUCUCCUCCCAAAGAGUAACGGAGGAGCACGAAGGUUAGCUAAUCACGGUCGGACAUCGUGAGGUUAGUGCAAAGGCAUAAGCUAGCUUGACUGCGAGAGUGACGGCUCGAGCAGGUACGAAAGUAGGUCUUAGUGAUCCGGUGGUUCUGAAUGGAAGGGCCAUCGCUCAACGGAUAAAAGGUACUCCGGGGAUAACAGGCUGAUACCGCCCAAGAGUUCAUAUCGACGGCGGUGUUUGGCACCUCGAUGUCGGCUCAUCACAUCCUGGGGCUGAAGUAGGUCCCAAGGGUAUGGCUGUUCGCCAUUUAAAGUGGUACGCGAGCUGGGUUUAGAACGUCGUGAGACAGUUCGGUCCCUAUCUGCCGUGGGCGUUGGAAGAUUGAGAGGGGCUGCUCCUAGUACGAGAGGACCGGAGUGGACGCAUCACUGGUGUUCGGGUUGUCAUGCCAAUGGCAUUGCCCGGUAGCUAAAUGCGGAAAAGAUAAGCGCUGAAAGCAUCUAAGCGCGAAACUUGCCUCGAGAUGAGUCUUCCCUGGGGCUUUAAGCCCCCUGAAGGAACGUUAAAGACUAUGACGUUGAUAGGCUGGGUGUGUAAGUGCAGCGAUGCAUUGAGCUAACCAGUACUAAUGAUCCGUGAGGCUUAACCU